UACGGGGGGGGGCAAGCGUUUGUUCGGAAUUACUGGGCGUAAAGGGCGUGUAGGCGGCCAACUAAGUCCGACGUGAAAAUCCCCCAGGCUUAACCUGGGAACUGCGUCGGAUACUGGAUGGCUUGAAUCCGGGAGAGGGAUGCGGAAUUCCCGGUGUAGUGGUGAAAUGCGUAGAUAUCGGGAGGAACACCAGUGGCGAAGGCGACUACCUGGCCGUGUUCUUCGACGCUGAGGCGCGAAGCGUGGGGAGCGAACGGG
rnacentral:rRNA from 1 species